AGAUGCUAUAUAAAAAGCUUUAUCACUAUCAGAAAAUAAGAGUUACUAGUUGUCCAGAAUUUGUUCAGUGUCUUAUGAGUCAAAAGUGUUCUAAUUGGCAGGCAGCAUCUCCCCAGCAGUGGUGCUUCAUGAAUCGGCAACAUGUGGUUUCCAAGUUGGCUGUCCUUGCUGGAAGGGUUAACAUAGCAGCUUCUUCAAUUUUCCUCUACUUUAUGCUCCUGGAGGCAACAUUGCAGCUCUAG
rnacentral:lncRNA from 1 species